CUAGCGACUGGGUGACUUUAUUCACCCGCUUCGGAUGUUAUCAGUCCAUCAGGCGUUAUUAGCAGAAAUCAGUCCCAUAGAUGUGGGCCAUCCACCUGCUAGACUGUUCAGAAGGUUGGUAUCAUCCAUCCAGAUGGAGGAUCACUGACAGGAGCGUGGAAGACUCCAGAAUCCACUCUGGCUGGAAUCCGGUGGAUACAGCAGUGUUACAGGUGUGGGGAUAAUAUGUAAGACUGCAGUGAAGCGAUGUACCAGAUGAAUCCCUGGCCAAAGAACAGUUCUCCACAGUCGCUGUCCACAUGGGUCAGUGGGACCAAGCAGCACUCUCUAAUGUGUGGACUCUGACCAGCAACAUCCAGCAAGACCCAGGCAGCGUUUUCUAUCUCCCAGCUGGAGUUUUUUGUUAGUCUGUGACUGGAGAGUCAGAUUUUUGUUGAAGCUGGAGGAACAGAGAGGUUAAUACACGCUACUGAUCCCUGAUGGGAGAAUCAUCACCUCUGCCAACAAAGAAGCCUGGUGGAUGUUUGUUUGCAGUCUGGUGAUGGGACAUCAUGCUCUGCAUCUUCAAAGUGUGUCUCUUGAUUAUUAUUCAUACACAGUAAUGUGAAUUAUGCUUAUAUCUAGUAUAACUGGACCAACCUGGUGCUCUUCAUUUAUGGGGGCUGUUGAGUCUGAAUGUUGGAUGUUGUGUAUCUCGUGUUCUCUGGGCUUUGUUGUCCUCAGUCUUUUUGCAGAAUCAGAAAACAAAACCAGGAGGCCUGUACAUGUUUCUUCUCCAAUUGGAUGAUGAUAAGACCGUGACACGGGAUGCCACCUUUAGUCUUGUGAUGAAGCAAAGCUCAGGAAGAAGUGUGAUUAAAUGGUACCCACAUGUGUGCUGUUGAGAAGGAUGUACAAGGGCACCUGCAGCCAAAUCCAAGCCUCCUCAGCAACUUCAAGUCUGUCAGCGUGCUGAGGUCACAGAAACAAGAAAAGAAGCUUCAGACUUCAGAGUGUUGUUUACAGUUUUCUGUCAUCAUGAUCUCCCCUGAAGUUUAUCACUAUUAGGCAAGCAAGCAGAGCGGCAGUUUGUGCUCACAGAUGGUGACGGUGUGGAGAGACGGUGGUGUUUCCUCAGAAGAACUAGCAGAGUCACCAAGGACACAAGUCCAUCUCACCACCUUGACUUGUUGAUCAGUGGACACACUUGUCUCCCCUUUAAAGGAGAUACUCUUAGAGAGAGACGAUCAGAGUCAUCCCUAAAUAUGGGCAGGAUAUCACUAUUGGACUGUCUAACCUGCCCGAGCAGCACUGAAUGACCACCAUACAUGAUCAGUUCCUGCAACAUUCAGCAGCUCUGCUUUUGUGUCAAAUGUCCAACAACUGGAGAGGAAACUACACCACUGUACUGGGAUGUUUCACCAACACGUGCCAGACGCUGUUCCUUCAUGGUGACAUCACCAGAGACGGCCCCGCCCACCUCAUGACCUCGCCAUUGAUCAUGAUGAUUUUAAUGAUGACAGCGAGCGGAACUAAGACUGUAAAAAUCAGAAUGUUUAGAUGCUUUCUAAUUAUUAAUGAACACUGAGAGCCUCUUUCUGUGUUUUGUCUGUUUUUUUUUACUUCAUUUGUUACUAACAAAGUUCACCAAACUCACACAGUUUACAUUCUGUAUGUUUCCAUCUUUACCAGCCACACUCUUAACUGCAAUUAGAAAACAAACCUUAGAAAUCGUCGUUUUUCUCUUUUGUAAUUUUGUAAUUCAGUGAAUAUACUGCGCUGCUUCCUUUAAUUGCGUCUCACAUUGCUUUAAGUUUUUCAGUGUCCAGCUAUUUUUUACUGCUGUUUGAAUUCUCUGUAUGUUUGACCCUGUAGACUGUUUAAUGGACUGCUUGUCUUCCUGUUUGUAACCGCCGCCUGUUUUUGACUAAAGAUUUGGAUUUCUGACUUUAA